rnacentral:rRNA from 1 species
UCAUUAGAUACCCUGGUAGGCUUGACAAUCGUUUUGAUAUGUGCUAUAAUCAUUGAGUAAGUUGCUAAGUGCAUGAAGUCGUAACAAGGUAGC